rnacentral:rRNA from 1 species
AUGCAUUUUAAAGGACUCAGACAAGGGGAUCCGCUUGCCCCAAUGCUUUUUAUCCUGGCCCUUGACCCCUUGCAGAGGAUUUUUCAAAGGGCGAAUGAUUUGGGCAUUCUUCCCCCCCUAUCAAACAGUGCUGCCAGGAUGAGAGCUAGUUUUUAUGCGGACGACGCGGCUCUUUUCCUCAACCCUGAUCGUGAUGAAAUGGUCGCAGUCCAGGCCAUUCUGGAAAGGUUUGGUGAGAUCUCUGGACUGUGUGCAAGCCUUCAGAAAUGUGUUGUGUACCCGAUCUGUUGCGAGUUGCUAGACUUAUCACAAAUUUUAUUGCCUUUUGGAGGCUCGACGGGCACCUUGCCAUGCAAAUACCUGGGAUUACCUCUGAGUGUUAGUAAGCCGAAGAGGGUGGAUGAGCAGGUGCUGAUUGAUCGCAUCGCAAGCAAGCUGUCGCCCUAG